rnacentral:rRNA from 1 species
UACAGAGGGUGCGAGCGUUAAUCGGAAUUACUGGGCGUAAAGCGUGCGUAGACGGUCAAGUAAGUCGGGUGUGAAAGCCCCGGGCUCAACCUGGGAAUUGCAUUCGAGACUGCGUGGCUAGGGUGCGGAAGAGGGAAGCGGAAUUUCCGGUGUAGCGGUGAAAUGCGUAGAUAUCGGAAGGAACACCAGUGGCGAAAGCGGCUUCCUGGUCCAGCACCGACGUCAGGCACGAAAGCGUGGGAGCAAACAGGG